rnacentral:rRNA from 1 species
GACGAACGCUGGCGGCGUGCUUAACACAUGCAAGUCGAACGGAAAGGCCCUGCUUUUGUGGGGUGCUCGAGUGGCGAACGGGUGAGUAACACGUGAGUAACCUGCCCUUGACUUUGGGAUAACUUCAGGAAACUGGGGCUAAUACCGGAUAGGAGCUCCUGCUGCAUGGUGGGGGUUGGAAAGUUUCGGCGGUUGGGGAUGGACUCGCGGCUUAUCAGCUUGUUGGUGGGGUAGUGGCUUACCAAGGCUUUGACGGGUAGCCGGCCUGAGAGGGUGACCGGCCACAUUGGGACUGAGAUACGGCCCAGACUCCUACGGGAGGCAGCAGUGGGGAAUAUUGCACAAUGGGCGGAAGCCUGAUGCAGCAACGCCGCGUGCGGGAUGACGGCCUUCGGGUUGUAAACCGCUUUCGCCGGUGACGAAGCGUGAGUGACGGGAAUGGGUAAAGAAGCACCGGCUAACUACGU